CCCUUAGAUGUCCUGGGCCGCACGCGCGCUACACUGAGUGUCUGAGAUACGAGUCUGCCUAGCCGGCGAGGUCUAGGUAAUCGCUGAAAGACACAUCAUGCUUGGGAUAGAUUUUGCAGAUAUUAAUCUUGAACGAGGAAUUCCUAGUAAGCGCAAGUCAACAGCUUGCGUUGAUUACGUCCCUGCCCUUUGUACACACCGCCCGUCGCUACUACUGAUUGGAUGUUAAAGCGAGGUUCUCGAACUGCUAGCGACUUAGCUUCGGUGAGGUCGCCGUGUGGGAAGUGAACCUAGCUUUAGUGUCUAGAGGAAGUAAAAGUCGUAUCA
rnacentral:rRNA from 1 species